UUCCAGCUCAAUUAGCGUAUACUAGCGUUGUUGCAGUUAAAACGCCCGUAGUUGAAAGUAGAGUCACAACGUCAAGCAGGCUGGUCUUGCGCGACGGCUCGUGCCUUUUUCUGCAAGAUGCUCGCCGUGGCACUUUAUUGGGUCGCGGAGUGAGGUUUUGCUCGUUUACAGUGAAGAAUUCUAUUUGCUCCAAGCAGGCGCCUCGCUUGCAAGUUACAGCACUGGAUAAUGAAAGAUGCUCAGGCUAAUUUUGUUGGUUUUGUUAGUCAGAGAAUGAUAAAUAGGAACAGUUGGCGGAGAUCGUACUGUGCUGGGGAGAGGUGAAAUUUGAUGAUCCGCGCAAGACGAACAACUGCGAAAGCAUUCUCCGAGGAUGUUUUCGUUAAUCAAGGACGAAAGUAGGGGGAGCGAAGAUGAUCAGAGACCGUUGUAGUCCCUACCCUAAACGAUGCCGACUGAGAAUGAGAUUACGUUUCUAAUGUCUUUUCUCGCGCUCAUAGAGUAAUCUUGAGUGUUUGGGUUCUAGGGAGAGUACGGCCGCAAGACUGAAAUUUAAAGAAAUUGACGGAAGGGCACCACCAGGGGUGGAACCUGCGGCUCAAUUUGACCCAACACGGGGAAACUUACGCGGUCAGGACAAGAGAAGGAUUGACAGAUUGAAGUUCUUUCAAGAUUUUUUGGGUGGUGGUGCAUGGCCGUUCCUAGUUAGUAUGUGAAUUGUCUGCUUUAUUGCGAUAACUAGCGAGACCACUGCGGCUUUGUACGACGACCGAGUGCGCAAGUGCUCGGCCGCUUCGUAAUAGCCGGACAGCGGCGGUCACGCCGAGGAAGUUGGUGGCGAUAACAGGUCUGUGAUGCCCUUAGACGUCCGCGGCUGCACGCGCGUUACACUGAGAGGAGCAACAAGUUUCACUUGCGCGAAAGCGCUGGUAAAUCUUUGAAACCCUUUCGUGCUUGGGAUCGAGAGCUGGAAUGUUCUCGUGAACGAGGAAUCCCUUGUAUGCGCGCUUCAUCAAAGCGCACAGAAUACGUCCCUGCCCUUUGUACACACCGCCCGUCGCUGUUUCCGAUUGAAACUAUUGGUGAGGACUAUGGAGGCGGCGUGCUAUGGUGCAAGCCAUUAUCGCAGCCAAAGUAGUUCAAAUCACUAGUUUUAGAGGAAGCAAAAGUCGUAACAAGGUAUCCGUAGGUGAACCUGCGGAUGG
rnacentral:rRNA from 1 species